rnacentral:lncRNA from 1 species
UCAGUGCUUCCAAUCUGGUCAUGCACUUCUUUAAGAUGUGGAACCUGGGAGCUUUCCUCUUCAAAAUAGGGGUAAAUGUUUCGUAGGGGGGUAAGGAAGGUGCCGAGGUCUUAAUAAAAAACACUUCCCAAAAGAUAAAGAUUGGGAAGAAGUAGCUAAAUUCUAGAUUAAUGAUUAAUACAGAACGAAAGCAUGAUACUCACUCAUGAACCAACCGAUAAAAAUAAAACGACGUUUUUUUAAAUUUAUUUAAAGAAACUAGGUAAGUCAAAUACUACUAAAUAAAAAAAGGAGCAAUACCGCCCUCUUGAUAGAACAAGAAAGAGGUUAUUGCUCCUUUUUCUUUCAAAAAAACUC